rnacentral:rRNA from 1 species
GACGAACGCUGGCGGCGUGCCUAAUACAUGCAAGUAGAACGCUGAGGUUUGGUGUUUACACUAGACUGAUGAGUUGCGAACGGGUGAGUAACGCGUAGGUAACCUGCCUCAUAGCGGGGGAUAACUAUUGGAAACGAUAGCUAAUACCGCAUAAGAGUAAUUAACACAUGUUAGUUAUUUAAAAGGAGCAAUUGCUUCACUGUGAGAUGGACCUGCGUUGUAUUAGCUAGUUGGUGAGGUAAAGGCUCACCAAGGCGACGAUACAUAGCCGACCUGAGAGGGUGAUCGGCCACACUGGGACUGAGACACGGCCCAGACUCCUACGGGAGGCAGCAGUAGGGAAUCUUCGGCAAUGGACGGAAGUCUGACCGAGCAACGCCGCGUGAGUGAAGAAGGUUUUCGGAUCGUAAAGCUCUGUUGUUAGAGAAGAACGUUGGUAGGAGUGGAAAAUCUACCAAGUGACGGUAACUAACCAGAAAGGGACGGCUAACUACGUGCCAGCAGCCGCGGUAAUACGUAGGUCCCGAGCGUUGUCCGGAUUUAUUGGGCGCAAAGCGAGCGCAGGCGGUUCUUUAAGUCUGAAGUUAAAGGCAGUGGCUUAACCAUUGUACGCUUUGGAAACUGGAGGACUUGAGUGCAGAAGGGGAGAGUGGAAUUCCAUGUGUAGCGGUGAAAUGCGUAGAUAUAUGGAGGAACACCGGUGGCGAAAGCGGCUCUCUGGUCUGUAACUGACGCUGAGGCUCGAAAGCGUGGGGAGCAAACA